rnacentral:misc_RNA from 1 species
AGUCACCCUGACUGUUGAGGU